rnacentral:rRNA from 1 species
GGUUCAUUCAAAUUUCUGCCCUAUCAACUUUCGAUGGUAAGGUAUUGGCUUACCAUGGUUUCGACGGGUAACGGGGAAUUAGGGUUCGAUUCCGGAGAGGGAGCCUGAGAAACGGCUACCACAUCCAAGGAAGGCAGCAGGCGCGCAAAUUACCCAAUCCCGACCGGGGAGGUAGUGACAAUAAAUACUGAUACAGGGCUCUUUUGGGUCUUGUAAUUGGAAUGAGUACAAUUUAAACCUCUUAACGAGGAACAAUUGGAGGGCAAGUCUGGUGCCAGCAGCCGCGGUAAUUCCAGCUCCAAUAGCGUAUAUUAAAGUUGUUGCAGUUAAAAAGCUCGUAGUUG